rnacentral:lncRNA from 1 species
GUGAAUAGAGGCAAGGGGAUUGAAGGUUGUAAGAAAUCGGUUUACAACUUGCUGAAAUUUCUUUGACAGGGGGAUUUUGGGAUAGGAAGAUGAUGAAUCUGCAAAGAUUGGGUUAGGCUUUUCUCUCGUAGGAAGAUGACUAUAGGGGUUUUCACGAUAUAAGCAACAUGGCAGAUAGAGAACAUAAAAACUGGCAGAAGACGUAGUAUUAUCGUUUGUUAGGUCGAUCAAAAGUUGGC